rnacentral:tRNA from 1 species
GCCCGACUAGCUCAUCGGUAGAGCGCCUCACUAGUAGCUUCGUAGAAGAUACAUUGCAAUGAGGAGGCAACAGGUUCGAUUCCUGUGUUGGGCA